rnacentral:piRNA from 1 species
UAGCUCAGAGGGAUGUGAGCAGAAGUGCUUA